rnacentral:tRNA from 2 species
GCCCGAGUGAUGGAAUCGGUAGACAUACGGGAUUUAAAAUCCCGGGGGCGUUAAAGUCCGUGCCAGUUCAAGUCUGGCCUCGGGCA